UGGGGAAUAUUUGACAAUUGGCGAAAGCCUGAUCCAGCCAUGCCGCGUGUGUGAAGAAGGCCUUUUGGUUGUAAAGCACUUUAAGCGAGGAGGAGGGUACUUGGAUUAAUACUCUAGGAUAGUGGACGUUACUCGCAGAAUAAGCACCGGCUAACUCUGUGCCAGCAGCCGCGGUAAUACAGAGGGUGCGAGCGUUAAUCGGAUUUACUGGGCGUAAAGCGUGCGUAGGCGGCUUUUUAAGUCGGAUGGGAAAUCCCUGAGCUUAACUUGGGAAUUGCAUUCGAAACUGGGAAGCUAGAGUAUGGGAGAGGUAGGUAGAAUUCCAGGUGUAGCGGGGAAAUGCGUAGAGAUCUGGAGGAAUACCGAUGGCGAAGGCAGCCAUCUGGCCGAAUACUGACGCUGAGGUACGAAAGCAUGGGGAGCAAACAGG
rnacentral:rRNA from 1 species